CCUACGGGAGGCAGCAGUGGGGAAUAUUGGACAAUGGGGGCAACCCUGAUCCAGCCAUGCCGCGUGUGUGAAGAAGGCCCUCGGGUUGUAAAGCACUUUCAGUGAGGAAGAACGCCUGGUGGUUAAUACCCAUCAGGAAAGACAUCACUCACAGAAGAAGCACCGGCUAACUCCGUGCCAGCAGCCGCGGUAAUACGGAGGGUGCGAGCGUUAAUCGGAAUUACUGGGCGUAAAGCGCGCGUAGGUGGCCUGAUAAGCCGGUUGUGAAAGCCCCGGGCUCAACCUGGGAACGGCAUCCGGAACUGUCAAGCUAGAGUGCAGGAGAGGAAGGUAGAAUUCCCGGUGUAGCGGUGAAAUGCGUAGAGAUCGGGAGGAAUACCAGUGGCGAAGGCGGCCUUCUGGACUGACACUGACACUGAGGUGCGAAAGCGUGGGUAGCAAACAGGAUUAGAUACCCCGGUAGUC
rnacentral:rRNA from 1 species